rnacentral:rRNA from 1 species
GACGAACGCUGGCGGCGUGCCUAAUACAUGCAAGUAGAACGCUGAAGGAGGAGCUUGCUUCUCUGGAUGAGUUGCGAACGGGUGAGUAACGCGUAGGUAACCUGCCUGGUAGCGGGGGAUAACUAUUGGAAACGAUAGCUAAUACCGCAUAAUAGUAGAUGUUGCAUGACAUUUGCUUAAAAGGUGCAAUUGCAUCACUACCAGAUGGACCUGCGUUGUAUUAGCUAGUUGGUGGGGUAACGGCUCACCAAGGCGACGAUACAUAGCCGACCUGAGAGGGGGGUCGGCCACACUGGGACUGAGACACGGCCCAGACGCCUACGGGAGGCAGCAGUAGGGAAUCUUAGGCAAUAGACGGAAGUCUGACCGAGCAACGCCGCGUGAGUGAAGAAGGUUUUCGGAUCGUAAAGAUCUGUUGUAAGAGAAGAACGAGUGUGAGAGUGGAAAGUUCACACUGUGACGGUAUCUUACCAGAAAGGGACGGCUAACUACGUG